UACGUAGGGUGCAAGCGUUAAUCGGAAUUACUGGGCGUAAAGCGUGCGCAGGCGGCUUUGCAAGACAGAUGUGAAAUCCCCGGGCUUAACCUGGGAACUGCAUUUGUGACUGCAAGGCUGGAGUGCGGCAGAGGGGGAUGGAAUUCCACGUGUAGCAGUGAAAUGCGUAGAGAUGUGGAGGAAUACCGAUGGCGAAGGCAGCCCCCUGGGAUAACACUGACGCUCAUGCACGAAAGCGUGGGGAGCAAACAGG
rnacentral:rRNA from 1 species